CAUAGAAGAAGGACACUGUGACGGCAUGUUUACUGGCAGGUAUCCAGUUCCUCUUGGUGUUGGGGUCGAUCUGGAAAACAUGAGCCCGGGCGCUGAAGAUCGGCUGCUCCCUGGAGGAGGAAACACAAGGAUGAUGAAAUCCUUCAUUAUUUUCAUAAUGGGACAUCUCCGCCUGCAAUCCAGCGACAGAUGUGGAAUCAUCCUUUGGCUUUCUCCCACACUUUCUCCUGCGUCAUUCGCCAGCAGUACAGGGUAAAGCUGGCCGAGGAUGUUGACUAGAACUCUCUGAACCCUCUCCCGAGUCGUUCACCCACCACGCUCUGAUCUGCUCCUGGCAGAUUCACAGAGAUGUAUCCUGGAUACGAGUAAUCCUCCUGGUGUCAGUGGAUUUCCUGCUCUGCCUCCUGAUCUGACGACUGACUGGGAGACGACGCUGGGUGAGGGACGUCUUUUCCACGCUGGGACUGAGAUUUGUGCUCUGGCUUUCUAGUGAUAUGAUUCAGCUGUCAUGUUGGUAGACAAUCUGACGUAGAACUGUACUCUGCAUUACAAUUGGGAGUGUCUGA